GGGGCUUUAGCUCAGUUGGGAGAGCGCCUGCUUUGCAAGCAGGAGGUCAUCGGU
rnacentral:tRNA from 1 species